AGUGAACGCUGGCGGUAGGCCUAACACAUGCAAGUCGAACGGCAGCACAGUAAGAGCUUGCUCUUACGGGUGGCGAGUGGCGGACGGGUGAGGAAUACAUCGGAAUCUACUUUUUCGUGGGGGAUAACGUAGGGAAACUUACGCUAAUACCGCAUACGACCUACGGGUGAAAGCAGGGGAUCUUCGGACCUUGCGCGAUUGAAUGAGCCGAUGUCGGAUUAGCUAGUUGGCGGGGUAAAGGCCCACCAAGGCGACGAUCCGUAGCUGGUCUGAGAGGAUGAACGAGCACAACGGGACAGGAGAACGGCCACGGCCCCGAGGGGGGGCAACAGUGGGGGAAUUGUGGAGAAGGGCCACAGGCUGGCGGAGCAACUCCGGGGGGAGGGUGACGGGCUUUGGUUUUUAAAGCUCUUUUAAGCGGGAAGAAAAGCCUACUUGCGAAUAGUCAGACGGAUUGACGGUACCAAAAUAGAAAGCCACGGCUAACUAGGUG
rnacentral:rRNA from 1 species